rnacentral:tRNA from 1 species
GUGGACGUGCCAGAGUGGUUAUCGGGCAUGACCAGAAAUCAUGUGGGCUUUGCCCGCCCAGGUUCGAAUCCUGCCGUCCACG